ACGAUGGUAGGAUAAUUAUUGACCUGAGGAAUAAUAUGGAUUUAUGUGGUUGUGAGAAUAGACUUUGUGUUUGUGAGUGUGAAAAUGUGAGUGUGUGUCUGUGUAUGUGCGCGCGCGCCCGUCCUGAACCAGGGAUCCCACUUGACAAGUUGACCUUGUCUAGAGGAGCAUUAGUGGAAAAAAACUGUGUAGCCCUGAGACAAAUAGGAUGACGUCACGACCAAUGAGAACGGCCUGCAGGGGGCGCAAGGAUUCACUUCUCUCUUGGACACUGACGGGUCUCGACACGCAAAUUCUGCUCCUGGCGUUGGCCGUCAGUGGAAGAGCGUAGCUUCGGUGGGGUUCUGUCUGCCUCUGAUGGGGUGCGGAUGUGUGGUUCGUCACUGGUGAAUGGUGUUCGACGAUGCAGGUGGAUUUUGUGACGAGCGGAUUUACAAUGAGGGAAUGCUGUGAACGGGAAAAAUGAUGGUGAGUGUCUUUUUCACUCUGUUCAAGUGUUUGUUUUCCUCUGUUGCCCAGCAGUCGUACAAUUUGUGCUGACAUGCCCCGAUAUGCAUGCUUUCCUGUGUUGACGCUUAGUAUUUUUUUCUCUUUUGACAAGGAACAUUGUUGUCUUGACGAUAGUGCUGCCCUGAGUUCUGCGCGCGUUGAUUUGUUGAGUGCCUAGUCCUCUUAUUAGCCGUUGAUGGAGUUACAUGUUAGGAUGUUUUGUUCUUUUGCAAGUCUCAUUUAGUAAGACUUUGGAAUUCCUUCGAUCAGCUUUCAUGCAUGGUGCUCUUCUGCAAUAGUUUCCUAUGCAAUCGUCAUAGAAGAAUAAAGGAAAUAAUCUUGGGAUAGUGAUUCAAUAAAUAAUAGGUCCCCUGUCUAGAGCGCACGCGUCCUUGAGCCACGCAGGUGCAUGAUGACGUCAUACCGUGGCUUCACUGCAGAUUGACCAAAGGAGCAUUAGUGGAAAAAAACAGUGUAGCCCUGAGACAAUAGGAUGAUGUCUGGACCAAUGAGAACUGCCAGCAGGGGGCGCAGGAAUGCUCUUCUCACUUUGCCUCACGACCAAUGAGAACUGCCAGCAGGGGGCGCAGGAAUGCUCUUCUCACUUAGCCUCACGACCAAUGAGCAACGAGAGAAGAGGGCGCAGGAAUGCUCUUCUCUCUUAGCCUCUCGCAGGUGGCGGUAGGAGCGCGCAGAGGGCGCUACGAGCGCGCGCAUGCGUAGCGGCCGCGGAGUGGCGCUUACGUCAGUCCACCUCUGGCUCUCGUUGGGAGAAGACGUGCGGUCGUUCGCUCCGUCGUCACUUGAUCCCUGGCUGUCGACGAGAGCAGUCGCAUCGGUCUGCGCUCCUACUGUGAGCUGUCCUAACUUGCCCAGACAUGCCAUGAUGACGUCACAGCUGACGUCACAGGAUGUCCGGAACUGGUGCUGCGAUGCUUUGCAACCUGCCUCCGUGCUCCGUCGCCCAGCGACAGUCAGCGGCCGUUCCGGACCACUUUCUUCAAGAUGACGUCACUGAUCUUCAACGAUACUCCUUCUCUCCACUCUAUCUCUAUCUAUUUUUUUAUUUUUAUCAGCUCAAGUAGCCGGAAACUCACACAGUGGUCUGGACGUGUCUUAGAUGAUCCCCAAUUAGUGUAAUGACUCCCUGAAUGAUCCUAAUUACUGUGGGGGCUCCCAAAUUGCUCUAAUUGCUAAUUAAUGGCGUCCAGACGAAGAUGUGAGUUUCCGGAUACUUGAGCUGAUACAUUACUACUUAUGUCCUGCUCAUAGAAGAAGAAAAAAGAGAGAGAGAGAAAAAAAGAAGACAACUGCAAUAUCUGUUUAACAAAUGGCGGGUUCUGCCUUAACGGUGCCAUUCACCUUCGACCCUUUCGCAGGAUUUCUAAGGGACAUGGACAGUCAUUUCACGUGUCAGGUCAUGUUGACCUAUUUCACUCAUCUCACAGCCAUUUUAGACAAGAGGUUCUCUGUUACCUCAAGUUGUGACUUGCUGUAGGUGUGA